CCUACGGGAGGCAGCAGUGAGGAAUAUUGGUCAAUGGACGAGAGUCUGAACCAGCCAAGUAGCGUGCAGGAUGACGGCCCUAUGGGUUGUAAACUGCUUUUAUAAGGGAAUAAAGUGAGAGUCGUGACUCUUUUUGCAUGUACCUUAUGAAUAAGGACCGGCUAAUUCCGUGCCAGCAGCCGCGGUAAUACGUGCCAGCAGCCGCGGU
rnacentral:rRNA from 1 species